ACUCUUUUCUGGUUCAUAAGCAUGACAGUUGGGUGCUCACACAAUUGUGUGAUGUGUACCUCCCUUAAAUUGUCUUACAAUUAAUAAUUGGCAUAUUACCUGGCUAAUG